rnacentral:misc_RNA from 1 species
GAUCAAGAACGUAGCGAAAUGCGAUAAGUAGUGUGAAUUGCAGAAUUCAGUGAAUCAUCGAAUCUUUGAACGCACAUUGCGCCCCUUGGUAUUCCAUGGGGCAUGCCUGUUCGAGCGUCAUUUGUACCUUCAAGCUUUGCUUGGUGUUGGGUGUUUGUCUCGCCUUUGCGUGUAGACUCGCCUUAAAAUAAUUGGCAGCCGGCGUAUUGAUUUCGGAGCGCAGUACAUCUCGCGCUUUGCACUCAUAACGACAGCGUCCAAAAGUACAUUUUACACUCUUGACCUCGGAUCAGGUAGGGAUACCCGCUGAACUUAAGCAUAUCAAUAAGCGGAGGA